CCACCUGUGGAAUGGAUGCAAGAUAGUGUGCAUAUUCUACUUCUUAUUGUCAUGCCAUGUCUCAUUGCCAGUAUUAAUGGAUAUCUUUCAGUUCUAAGGAUGAAAGAAAAGUAGAACUGAUGUUAUUCAACAAAAGGAAAAAUGUGGAUCUAAUGUUAUUCAACAAAAAGAAAAAUGUGGAUCUGAUGUUGACUGGACCAUUUCAUGGGCCCAUGC
rnacentral:lncRNA from 1 species